AAUGAUCUAAUUAAUUAUAUAUUAGUAGUUAAUUCCAAUUAAUUAAUAAAAAUAAUUUAUAUUUGAGUAUUUUUUAUAGAAAUUAAUAAUUAUAUUUAUAGUUUAUUUGUACUGUAAAGGGGUUUAUUUUAAUUUUAAUUAAGUAUAUUUUAAUUGUAGUACCUUUUGUAUCAGGGUUUAUCUAUUAAUAAUAUUUAUUCAUAUUUAUCCCGAAAUUAAAAGAGAUAUCAUUAAUUGUAAUUUAUUGUUGCAAUACUAUUAAGAAAUUAAUGAUAGGAGUUAUAUGCUAUUCAUUUUUAAAUAUCUGGUUGCUUACUAAUUGAAUUUAAUUCAGAAUUAUGUCAGGGUAAACUAAAAUUACAUUUAGUAUUAUAUCUAGAAUAAUUUAAUAUUAAAGGGGAUAAGCUUUUUAAUAAAUUUAAUAAUUUAUAUGUAUCAUCAAAAAUUUUGUAGGAUUAGAAACUUCCAUUAUUUAUUUCGUUAUAGUAAGUUUUUGUUUAAUAUUUAUUUAAUGUGAAUUUUAUUUUAUAGUAAGUUAUUUAAUCUAACUAUUAACUUGAAGUAAUUAUGAUAAAAUUAGUAAUUUUAUGAAUUAAUAUAUAGGAACUUGGCAAAAAUUAUGUUCACCUGUUUAACAAAAACAUGUCUUAAUGUAAAAAUAUAUUAAGUCUGGCCUGCUCAAUGAUUAAUUAAUUAAAUAGCUGCAGUAUCCUAACUGUGCAAAGGUAGCAUAAUCAAUUGUCUUUUAAUUGUAGGCUUGUAUGAAUGGUUUCAUGAGAUAUAAUCUUUCUUUAUGUUACUAAAAUGAAUUUAAUAUUUGUGUUAAAAAGCAUAAAUUAAAGUGUGGGACGAUAAGACCCUAUAGAAUUUUAUUAUUAAUAGGUUAAAAUUUAUUUGUUAUGUUAAUAAUAAAUAUUUAAUUAUUAAUAAUUUUAUUGGGGUAAUGGGGAGAUUUAUAAAAUUCUCUUUAAUAAUAAUUUAUUUAUUUAUAAUUUAAAGAUCCUUUAAUAAGGAUAAUAAGAUUAAAUUACCUUAGGGAUAACAGCGUUAUUCCUUUAAAGAGUUCAUAUCGAUAAAGGAGUUUGCGACCUCGAUGUUGGAUUAAAAUGUGUAUUAAGUGCAGAAGCUUAAUUACUAGGUCUGUUCGACCUUUAAAAUUUUACAUGAUCUGAGUUCAAACCGGCGUGAGCCAGGUUGGUUUCUAUCUUCACUUGAAAUUUAAUUAUAUAUCAGUACGAAAGGACCUUAUAUAAUAUAUAAUAUAAUAUAAUUGAAUAUUCUUUAAAUUUUAUU
rnacentral:rRNA from 1 species